UAGAGUUUGAUCCUGGCUCAGUACGAACGCUGGCGGCGUGCCUAACACAUGCAAGUCGAGCGGAGUUGUUGAGUAGUUUACUACAAGACAACUUAGCGGCGGACGGGUGAGUAACGCGUGGGCAACCUGCCUUUCACAGGGGGAUAACACAGGGAAACUUGUGCUAAUACCGCAUAAUAUCUAAGAAGGACAUCCUUUUUAGAUCAAAGGAGUAAUCCGGUGAAAGAUGGGCCCGCGUCCGAUUAGCUAGUUGGCGGUGUAAUGGACCACCAAGGCAACGAUCGGUAGCCGAACUGAGAGGUUGAUCGGCCACAUUGGGACUGAGACACGGCCCAGACUCCUACGGGAGGCAGCAGUGGGGAAUAUUGCACAAUGGGGGAAACCCUGAUGCAGCAACGCCGCGUGAAGGAUGAAGGUUUUCGGAUUGUAAACUUCUUUAGUCGGGGACGAAUAAAUGACGGUACCCGAAGAAUAAGCCACGGCUAACUACGUGCCAGCAGCCGCGGUAAUA
rnacentral:rRNA from 1 species